UCAAGUGCCCAAUACAUUUCUCGAGAAUGUGCUGAACGUGGAAUAAUUAGUUGCUGAUGUCAUCGCUAUAAUCAGCCAACAAAUACUCGUUCCUACUGUUUAUUUUUUUAAAUUUCUAGUCAUCAAGGUUCAAGAAGGAAGCACGUAUGUCUACGUACAUUUAUAUGCGAAAUCUCACACAAUUCCAGGCAUUUGAUUUUCAAAAACCUAUUAACCUAUAUACAUACAACAUGUGAUAGCGAGAUGGCAACGCAUACAAGCAAAAACCAAUCGACCCACAUUGGCCAUAUACGGUAUCUAUUUGAAAAAGCGACACAACCAUAUAUAGAAGAAACACAAAGAUGAAUCAUCGAUUGAUACAUGAGGCCAUCUGUUUGUACAAUACAUGUAUUGGAAUCAAGGAUUUCGUCAAAAAAUCCCCUUCAUCACAUAUAAUUGGUUAUUAUAAUUUAAAAAUAUUCAGCUAAAUAAGGAAUUGCAAAAAGAACUAUAUAUCGAAUAGUUUAAUUAUAUGUAGUUAUAAAAGUUA